rnacentral:rRNA from 1 species
GCGCUCAACAAUAGCUUCUUAGCUAUUGCAGAGGUGAGUAGAUUCGUCCCAUUGCAUCUCUGGGAAGGGCUCCGCGACACGAUUGAAGGUCUUCUGCAUGAAGCGGGUCUGCACACCACCGAAGCAUCUGACCAUCCCCUAGGUAUCGGUACGUUUGCAUUUGCCAACUCCUUCAUCAGAGAUACUGCAGUAAACACUACCUUCCAGCUUGAUGACGAAGAUCUGGUAGUUUCAUUUGUGCGCCACAAUGGGGCUCUAAACAUGCGCAGCACCACCUAUGGACCAGAGGUUUGGCUUAUGUACAUCGGAUUUCCUAAUGAUUAUCAGAUGAACUUUUACUUGCAACGUUCUGUA